GUGAAUCAUCAAAUCUUUGAACGCAAAUUGCGCUUCCUGGUAUCCCGGGAAGUAUGCCUGUUUGAGGGUCAUUAUUAACAAAAAAUCGUUUUGGUUGAAAAUGGUGACGUUUCCGGAUUUUGGGCUUUGUUUAAUUUUUUUGGUUAAGGGGCUUAAAAUUGACCUUUUUUGGGCAUUUUAGACGUACAUAAAUUUUUUUUUAUUUGUCUAUUCUAAAUUCCAAAUUUUUAUAAGAUGCAUCA
rnacentral:misc_RNA from 1 species